rnacentral:rRNA from 1 species
UUAAGUCCCGCAACGAGCGCACCCCAUGUCAUUAGUUGCUACGAAAGGGCACUCUAAUGAGACUGCCGGUGACAAACCGGAGGAAGGUGGGGAUGACGUCAAGUCCUCAUGGCCCUUAUGGGUAGGGCUUCACACGUCAUACAAUGGUCGGUACAGAGGGUCGCCAACCCGCGAGGGGGAGCUAAUCCCAGAAGUCCGAUCGUAGUCCGGAUCGCAGUCUGCAACUCGACUGCGUGAAGUCGGAAUCGCUAGUAAUCGCGGAUCAGCAUGUCGCGGUGAAUACGUUCCUAGGUCUUGUACACACCGGACGUCUCCCCACGGGAGUGGCUUUUUCCAGAAGUAGUCAGCCUAACCGCAAGGAGGGCGACACCACGGUAGGAUUCAUGACUGGGGUGUAGACGUGACAAG